rnacentral:rRNA from 1 species
GACGAACGCUGGCGGCGUGCUUAACACAUGCAAGUCGAACGGAAAGGCCCUGCUUUUGUGGGGUGCUCGAGUGGCGAACGGGUGAGUAACACGUGAGUAACCUGCCCUUGACUUUGGGAUAGCUUCAGGAAACUGGGGCUAAUACCGGAUAGGAGCUCCUGCUGCAUGGUGGGGGUUGGAAAGUUUCGGCGGUUGGGGAUGGACUCGCGGCUUAUCAGCUUGUUGGUGGGGUAGUGGCUUACCAAGGCUUUGACGGGUAGCCGGCCUGAGAGGGUGACCGGCCACAUUGGGACUGAGAUACGGCCCAGACUCCUACGGGAGGCAGCAGUGGGGAAUAUUGCACAAUGGGCGGAAGCCUGAUGCAGCAACGCCGCGUACGGGAUGACGGCCUUCGGGUUGUAAACCGCUUUCGCCUGUGACGAAGCGUGAGUGACGGUAAUGGGUAAAGAAGCACCGGCUAACUACGUG